rnacentral:lncRNA from 1 species
UGGCCUCACUCAUCUUCCCCUCAUUUAGGAAACAUUAGAACUUAUCAUCAACGGUUCACAUUAAAUAUCAUGCUAUGAUCAUUGACACAGAAAAUUGGGUACAUAAGCCAGCGGAAUUUAUUCAAGGGCGUCCUCAAAUUGAUGAUAUUCUCUUCUCUUUUGAUAGGCUUCGAUGGAUGCCGAUUCAUCACCGUCCUACUGCAGGGGAUUGCUGGCGGGGGAUGAAGACAUGAAGACACUAUGCAAUAUCAAUAUAACAUUUUUCUCUUUCUCAAACUAUAAGAAGACCAAGUUAGAAGGGCAGAAUUUGAGACCCAUGUAGAGAGAUGAAGCAAUAAAAAAGUUUUGUGAAAGAUAAAAUUACCCUUUUGGUAUAUUUACUAUAAUAAUAACGAAAUUGUGUUAUGCAUCUCUAUUAAGGAUAUACACCAAGGUCAAAGAUUAUAAACCUAGAGAUAUGAGCUCAUAAGUCAUUCCAAUGCUGGCCUACCAUGGUUUGUAGGAUAACCCUUCGAUUCAACCUCUAAGAGAGUGACUGUGAACUCUCAUCCUAUGUUAUUAUUUUCUGGUUAAAACAGUUGGGCUGUUAUAAUGGUCAAAGAGGAGAGAGUUAUGGGUUGUAACGGACCUCCCUAUGUUAUAAUGUAUUCCCAUCCAUUUCUCUCUCCCUUUCUCUCUCCUAUCUUCCUCUAUUUAAAGUGCAGGGGGCAUGGGAGAAAGGUGCAAUGUUGUGGAGAGGUUGUGAGAUGAGGAUGAGGGGUUGUUUGACUUCGAGAGAGAAGGUUCUCAAUUGUUUCAUUAUAAUCUCUUUUUCUACUUGAGGAAGAAGAUAUUCGAACAUCAGGGCUAAGAGAGAGACCUAGAAAUUUUAUAUAGAUCACUUUUCCCAUUUGUUCAUCCACAAAAGAAAUACCUCCAACUCUCGAUGUGGAAGUUAGAGAAAUUCUACAAACCGCAUAAAUCUUGACAUACUACUUCAUGUCAUUUCAUGUGUAUAUUAUCGUCUCUGAUUCUUUAGACAUGCUAAUACUUAAUUGGGUAAUAUUUAUUUUUGUUUAGAGAAGAAGGAAGGCUCUCACUUCUUUCACUUUGAUCUCACCUUUUUCUACUUGUAGAAGAAGAUAGUGAACAUUGAUCCAAGGACAGAGACCUAGACAUUCAAUAUAGAACUAUUUUCCCAUUUGCUCUCCCAUCAAAAAAAUAUCUCUAACUCUCUUUGUGGCCGUAACGUAAAUUCUCCAAACCACAUGAAUCUUGACAUAUCACUUCAUGUUAUUUUAUUUGUAUAUAUUCUUGUUGUCUCCAUUAUUUUGUGUGAGAUAUUUUUUUUUAGACACAUUCAUACUUAAUUGGGCAAUAUUUAUUUUUGUUGAGAGAAGAAGGAAGGUUCUCACUCCUUUCAUUUUGAUCUCGCCUUUUUCUACUUGAAGAAAAUGAUAUUCAGCAUCAAGUCAAAGAAAGAGACCUAGACAUUUAAUGUAGAAAUCUUUUCCCAUUUGCUCUCCCAUUGAAGACACAUCUCCAACUUUCUUUGUUGACAUAAAAAGAAUUUCUCCAAACCACAUGAAUAUUGACAUAUCACUUCAUGGCAUUAUUUUAUUUGAAUAAAAAUCUUGCCAUUCUCCAUUAUCUUGCCUCUGAUGCAUUGGACACAUUCAUACUUAAUUGGGCAAUAUAUAUUUUUGUUGACAUAAGAAGGAAGGUUCUCAAUUGUUUCACUUUCUUUUUUAACUCUCAUUUUUCUACUUGAAGAAGAACAUACUCAACAUAAAGUCAAAGAAAGAGACCUAGACGUUUUAUAAGACUCUUUCCCAUUUGUUCUUCCUGUGAAGAUAUAUCUCUAACUCUGUUUGUGGACGCCUAAGAAUUGCUCCAAACCAUAUUAAAAAUUUUCAUACCACCUUCUAUGUGUUAUUUUAUUUGUAUAUAAUCUGGCCAUCUCCAUUAUCUUGCAACUAAUACUUUAGACACAUUCAUACUUAAUUGGGUAACAUGUGUUUCUGCAAUUCAUCUUCUAGUAUUGUUAUUAAUAGCAUUUUUUUUCAAACAACAAACUUUGUGUUCUUAAGGUGGGCUUCACUAGUUCCGAUUGAUUUUAUGCUGUUCUACCAAGGUUUGAAGGUUUUUGCCCCCUUCAAGAUCAAAUCAAAAAGCCCAAGAACAUCUCAUAAUAAGAUAAGAUGGACGAAUUUACUUAGAACAGCAUCUAAUAAUUUUUGGAGAUAUGAUCAGAGGAGAGAUACUCACCGUAGACGCUGAGCUUGAUCUUGAAGCAACAAACACAAGCCUUGAUUUUUAUAGCCCCUUCUCCUGGGGAUGCAUCAUGAGUUCACAACAAAGAUGAAGAUGGAUACACAUAGAGAUAGAUAGAUAUAUAGAUAGAGCAAGAGUGAGAGAGAGAGAGAGAGAGAGAGCAAGAGAGAGAGAGAUAGAGNNNN